CUGGCAUGAGAGAUGUCUGGAAAUGACACAGAUGUGUAAGCUUUUGUUUGUGCUUCUGCCUGGGAAAGGCACUAAGGGUAGUGGCUGCUGCUUUGCGGUGGGUGCUGGAGAAGGGAGUUGCAUGUAGACAUUCAGGUUUAUUUUUCAGUUAGAGAUGGCUUAAUGAAGAACAGCAUCAGGUAAAAUAAGGGCUCAUGUUUGUGGGAAGGACACAAUCACACAACUGUAGUCUGGGAGGGGUCCCAAGAGCACCUUGUGUGAAGAGCUGAGAUCC